CGUGUAGGCGGCUGCGCAAGUCGGAUGUGAAAUCCCGUGGCUCAACCACGGAAGUGCACCCGAAACUGCGUAGCUUGAGUCUCGGAGAGGAAGGUGGAAUGCUUGGUGUAGAGGUGAAAUUCGUAGAUAUCAAGCGGAACACCGGUGGCGAAGGCGGCCUUCUGGACGAUGACUGACGCUGAGACGCGAAAGCGUGGGGAGCAAACAGGAUUAGAUACCCUGGUAGUCCACGCCGUAAACGAUGAGUGCUAGGUGUCACGGGCUUUGACCCCUGUGGUGCCGUAGCUAACGCAGUAAGCACUCCGCCUGGGGAGUACGGCCGCAAGGCUAAA
rnacentral:rRNA from 1 species